GACGAACGCUGGCGGCGUGCUUAACACAUGCAAGUCGAACGGUAAGGCCCUUCGGGGUACACGAGUGGCGAACGGGCGAGUAACACGUGGGUGAUCUGCCCUGCACUUCGGGAUAAGCCUGGGAAACUGGGUCUAAUACCGGAUAGGACCACUGCCUGCAUGGGUGGUGGUGGAAAGCUUUUGCGGUGUGGGAUGGGCCCGCGGCCUAUCAGCUUGUUGGUGGGGUGAUGGCCUACCAAGGCGACGACGGGUAGCCGGCCUGAGAGGGUGACCCGCCACACUGGGACUGAGAUACGGCCCAGACUGCUACGGGAGGCAGCAGUGGGGAAUAUUGCACAAUGGGCGCAAGCCUGAUGCAGCAACGCCGCGUGAGGGAUGACGGCCUUCGGGUUGUAAACCUCUUUCAGCACCGACGAAGCGCAAGUGACGGUAGGUGCAGAAGAAGGACCGGCCAACUACGUGCCAGCCGCCGCAGUAA
rnacentral:rRNA from 1 species